GCCCGGAUGGCGGAAUUGGUAGACGCGCUGGUCUCAAACACCUGUGGAGUUACAUCCAUGUCGGUUCGACUCCGACUCCGGGUACAA
rnacentral:tRNA from 1 species